UCGCCCGCCCGCACGACCUCCUCCUUCUCCCGCACGACCUCCUUAUCCUCCCGCAGCCGCGCCCUUCACCGCCUCCUCGCGCCGCCGGAGCCACGGGAAGCGGCCGCGGGUCGCCGGGAGCCUCCCCAGCCGCGGGAGCCCGCCCCCGCCGACCCCGCCCCCGCCACCGGAGCCGCCCCGCCGCGCCCUUCGCCGCCCCUCAUCCUCGGCGGCGAGAGGCACGCAGGAGCCGCCGCCAGGGACGUGGACGUGUGCGGGCCAACCACCGGCGUACGAGGCCGCGCCUGAGCCUGCGGCGCGGCGGCGCGGAGCCCUCCGCCGCCAGUUCCCUGCCGGUUCGAGAUCGCCACCGGUCCCCUCCGUGCCGUCAUCGUCCUUCCUGCUACCAGCUCCGUCCUCCGCCCUAUCUCCGCGGCAAUGUUCUGCUCCAUCCAUCGGCGCAAACAACCUAUAGAGUCAAGGAGUAGAAUACCAAAAUACGAGCUGCAAAAGUGACUCAAAUUCCUCUUCCCUCACAAGUAACUACACUGAGGUGGAGGCUGGCCUGCAGCUUGUGUGCGCGGAGGCUCGUGUGCGCGGAGGAGAAGCACACUUCACCGACAAGUUGUUCCCGCUAUCCUCGCUGCCACUGCCAGUGACGGAACUUGGUGUGGACAACAUGCUGGAAAGAGAGUGUUCAUCCCUAUGAUCCCUUUGGCGCCCUCGGAGGACAUUUCACUUCCUUUCAAGUUGAAGAGGAAACAGUUCCCUGGAUCGAUCCUGGAGAGCCCCUUCCGUAACCAAGUCCCCUCCCCACUCGGAGUCCUCCGCCACUGACGCACGGGUAAGCGCCAGAGAUGCGGUGCAUCCACGCGGUUCAACGAGCUGCCGCUGUCGUAGAUAACCAAGACGUACACGGAGAUAAGCAAGAUUCAGUGUGCUGCACUGCCCCCACGCGCUCUGAGGGUGCGAUGUCCCCGACGUGUCCAAGACAAGGUCCAGGAAGACCCUCGCCUUCGUUAUCCUGGUAAAGUUUUGCUGUUAUUUUACUCCCCCAACUCCACUUACAGGGGAACAAAGAGUAAGAGUAAUCCUGGGGAUAAUGGUAUUUUCAUUUGUGCUUCUAAUUAAUAGUAUUACUGUCAGCUCCAUCCUUAGAGCAAUUGACGAAAAUGACUAUAUCACCUAGAUUGAUAGACAAUAAUUAUGCACAAACAUGGCAAUGUCCACAAAACAACUGCCGCUGCAUUGCUAAGAUGCAGCUUGAUUUGGCCUCAAUAUUUUGAUUUUUGAGUAUUACUUUCUUCCACUCCUCUGCAAAAUACUCCUAUGUUCUAGCUUCUCAAGCCUCUACUCUCAACCAGUCCAGUUGUCC